UGACUCUAGAAUAGUCAUGUGACCU
rnacentral:piRNA from 1 species